rnacentral:hammerhead_ribozyme from 1 species
AUUUGACGAGUCCCGAAUAGAACGAAACGCGCGUCCUGGAU